rnacentral:sRNA from 1 species
AUGGCUGUCGUCAGCUCGUGUCGUGAGAUGUUGGGUUAAGUCCCGCAACGAGCGCAACCCUUAUCGUAUGUUGCCAGCGCGUAAUGGCGGGGACUCGUACGAGACUGCCGGGGUCAACUCGGAGGAAGGUGGGGACGACGUCAAGUCAUCAUGCCCCUUAUGUCCAGGGCUGCAAACAUGCUACAAUGGCCGGUACAAAGGGCUGCUAUACCGCGAGGUGGAGCGAAUCCCAUAAAGCCGGUCUCAGUUCGGAUUGGAGUCUGCAACUCGACUCCAUGAAGCUGGAGUCGCUAGUAAUCCCGGAUCAGCAACGCCGGGGUGAAUACGUUCCCGGGCCUUGUACACACCGCCCGUCACACCACGAAAGUCGGCAACGCCCGAAGCCAGUGGCCUAACCCUUCGGGGAAGGAGCUGUCGAAGGUGGGGUCGGCGAUUGGGGUGAAGUCGUAACAAGGUAGCCGUACCGGAAGGUGCGGCUGGAUCACCUCCUUUCUAAGGAGCUCACCUGCAUUCGCAGGAGACUCCCAGUUGAUGCACUCGCUUGUCCUCUGUUCCGUUUUGAAGGAGCGCCCCGGAGCCCCCGCCCAGUGCGGGGGCUCUGUCACGCUCCGGUACGCCCCUUGAGAAUUGCAUAGCGAGCACGAGCAUCUUUGUUCUUCCAAGCUACAAAGUGCCAACGGUGGAUGCCUUGGCGUCUACUACCGAUGAAGGACGUGUUUGGCUGCGAAAAGCCACGGGGAGCUGCCGAAAGAGCUUUGAUCCGUGGAUGUCCGAAUGGGGAAACCCGG